AACGAACGCUGGCGGCAUGCCUAACACAUGCAAGUCGAACGAGAUCUUCGGGUCUAGUGGCGCACGGGUGCGAAACGCGUGGGAAUCUGCCCUUUGGUUCGGAAUAACAGUUGGAAACGACUGCUAAUACCGGAUGAUGACGAAAGUCCAAAGAUUUAUCGCCAGAGGAUGAGCCCGCGUAGGAUUAGCUAGUUGGUGUGGUAAAGGCGCACCAAGGCGACGAUCCUUAGCUGGUCUGAGAGGAUGAUCAGCCACACUGGGACUGAGACACGGCCCAGACUCCUACGGGAGGCAGCAGUGGGGAAUAUUGGACAAUGGGCGAAAGCCUGAUCCAGCAAUGCCGCGUGAGUGAUGAAGGCCUUAGGGUUGUAAAACUCUUUUACCCGGGAUGAUAAUGACAGUACCGGGAGAAUAAGCUCCGGCUAACUCCGUGCCAGCAGCCGCCGUAA
rnacentral:rRNA from 1 species